rnacentral:rRNA from 1 species
AGUGAACGCUGGCGGCAGGCCUAAUACAUGCAAGUCGAGCGCGAAAAGGGCAACCUGAGUAGAGCGGCGCACGGGUGCGUAACACGUGGGUAAUCUGCCCUUGAGUCGGGAAUAACCUUCCGAAAGGUUGGCUAAUACCCGGUAAGCUUACGGUGACUUCGGUCGCUGUGAGAAAAGUAGGCCACUGUUUACAAGCUUACACUUGAGGAUGAGCCCGCGGCCCAUCAGCUAGUUGGCGGGGUAACGGCCCACCAAGGCUACGACGGGUAGCUGGUCUGAGAGGACGAUCAGCCACACUGGAACUGAGACACGGUCCAGACUCCUACGGGAGGCAGCAGUGGGGAAUUUUCCACAAUGGGCGAAAGCCUGAUGGAGCAACGCCGCGUGUGUGAUGAAGGUCUUCGGAUUGUAAAGCACUUUCGACUGGGACGAAAUACCGGCGCUAACAUCGCCGGGACGUGACGGUACCAGGAGAAGAAGCACCGGCGUAACUCUGUGCCAGCAG